AUGCUAAAGUUCAAGAGCGUCCACAUGCAUUUCAUAGAAACCUUUUUCCAAGGUGUUUCUCUUUUGUCCGGCUAUUCAUCUGAAUCUCAGGUUAUCAAACUAAAACUGACGGGCAUUAAGGAGGCUUUCAAGCCAAUAACAGGAGUAAGGAUAGUGCUCGAGCAACGAGCCGAGUUUGCCACUGGUGCAGGCAUCCCAGAGAUCUAUGACGCGUCGAUAAAGCUCGAGGCCGAGCUCCCUCUGCUCAAGAGAGUACUCUGGCACUGGAGAUGGACCAUGUUUGUGUGGAGCAGCAUGGCGGUCUUUGUCUUCGAACUGUUGCUCGCCGUCGUUUGUUGUAGGCCCUGUAUAUUUCCCAGGAGUUGA
rnacentral:rRNA from 1 species